GCGCAGGGUGUUUAGGGUUCCGCCGCAUCGCGGGUCAGGUCCGAGAAACGCCACCCGAUCGGCAAAAUCCGGUCGGGCACACGGCGGGCCAAAAUCCCGGGAGGA
rnacentral:sRNA from 1 species